UUUUUUUUUUUUUUUUUUGUCUUUUUACAGUUGCACCUGUGGCAUAUGGAAGUUCCCAGCCUAGGGGUCGAAUCAUAGCUGCAGCUGCCAGCCACAGCCAGAUUCUUAACCCACUGCGCUAGGCUGGGGAUUGAACCUGGGCUUCAGCAGCCACAUGAGCUUCUGCAGAGACCACACCAGAUCCCUGACGCACUGAGCCACAGUGUGAACUCCUCAAUAUUGUGAUUUAUUAUAAUUGUUGAAGCAUUAAUUCUCCCACCAUACGAAUGGCUGAUAUUUAGGAACACUUAAUUGUGGGUCAAGUGCUACAUUAUUUCAUUUAAUCUUCAUGUGUUACAGAUGAGGAAACUGAACACAUGCAACGAAGCCAGGGGGAAGCCAAGAUACGAAUCUACACAUUCCACUCUUUAGCCCUAGAUCUUAACUCUAUACCAGUGGUUUUCAGUGGGGGUAGUUUUGCCUCCUGUGAGACAUUCAGCAGUAUCUGGAGACAUUUUUGAUGGCUGCAACUGGAAUGUGGGAGGAAGCUACUGGUAUCUAGUGGGCAGAGGCCAGUGACGUUGCUAGGCACCCUGCAAGACACAGGGCAGCUCCUCACAGCAAAGAAUUAUUCAGUUCCAAAUGUUAAUAGUUCAGAGGCUGAGAAACACUGCUCUACCCUAAAUUAACUCCUGUGGAUUGACCCAAGAGACUCUGAGCAUCUCCACAGCAAGGAUUUUUAAAUGUUCACCAUGGUGUCUUGGCACCUACCAUAGAGCCUGGUACUCAGUAGAUGCUCAAUGCGUAUGUGAUGGAUGGGACAGAUGGGUGGAAGGAUGGGUGCUGGGAUGGAUGGAUGGGUGGAGGGAUGAGGGGAUGGAUGCAGAAAUGGAAGGAUGGAUCAAUUCCAGGAGCAAAGAAACAAGUUUACCUAUUUUAAGGCUUGUUUUUUGUGACAACUUUGAUAAAGAUAAAUCUGCGCACGCGCGCACACACACACACACACACACACACACACACACACACUGGUAAUUAACAGUAAAUGAAUGCGUGCAGGGCACAUUCCAGGGGAUGCCCUCACCUUAGCAACAACUUACAUUUAUGAUUCUAGAGUGUGAGAUCAAAUUAAUUCACCAAAUGGCUAGAAUUAGUUUUUCUAAAGAGUCCCCUUCAAGCACUACACUAGAGGAUAAACUGGUAUGUUCCUCAUCCACACAGGCCACCACUCAAAUUGUUUUUUAAAAAGACUUUCUGAAUAAGGCUCCCCUGGUUUCUUUUCUUUUAAAUAAAAGCCAAAUAACAAGAGAAUAUACAAUCUCAUGCUUUCCCCUGUUGUAACUACAAUUCAGACAUAAAUUCAUUAUUCUAGAUUUCCAGAUGCUGGAGGUAGAGUAGAAAUUACAAUGAAUCUUAGGUGAAGUUUUGAAGGGUAAACAAAAACAUACAUACCGGAAAGAAACCACUCUCUGGCUUCUGUAACUAAUAUAUCUAAAUACCAGAAAUGAAGCCAAGAAAAGAUAUAUUUCAUGAUUAUAAGAUUUUUAAAAUACCAGCAAUUUAGCCUGAUUUUUACAGCAGCACAAACCCUUCAACAAUGGCAGCGUUAAUAAGUGCUGAACAUGAACUGAUAGAUUUUCUACAGAAAAGCAAAAAGGUUCAGCUGUAGGGCUGGCUCCUUUGAGUUACUACUUAUUAUAAAAUGUAGUCAGAAGUUAAAACAAAUGAGACUAAUUUUUAAGUGUAAUACUCUCAACUAUGCCUCACAACUUUGCAUUGAACUCUGCAGUUUUAUACAAGCACACACACACACAACCAAAGAAUACAAUAACCAAAUAAGUUUUGGUACCUGUCCUCACUCUUGGAGAUUCAUAGUGCAACAUAAGCAUAAAAGCAGGCUCUGAACACACUUGCGUUAGGUUGUUAAACUCAGGAUUUCCCAUAGAGCGGCAUCAAUAAAAAGUAAAAUCAGAUGAGGAUCUGCCAAAACAUUCGGAAGUAUGGAAAAAGGCUAAAAGUGGUGACAGGAUUUGAAGCUGGGGACACCAGUGUGACUGGGGCAUUUCUCACCAUGGGAACCAUGACUGAAGCCAGAGACAAGCUGUGCCUUUGUCACCGUAGGUGAGAACAUGACACACACUUGUCACAGAGGCAGAUUGUUCUUGUACAGACACGCAAGUUAGUGAGAUGUUUAUGCACAGGAGAGAGGAAAAGAAAAGGUUAACCCAAACUCAGGAAUGUCACAAUCACUGACAUCAAUCAUGAUUUUUGGAGCACCUAUUCUGUGGAACCAUUGUGGAAAAUCUGGGAAAAUAGUCUUAAAGGAAACAAAAGAGGGGCAAGUAUAGCUGAACCACCUUGAGAUCCACUAAACAACAUGUCACAAGAGCCAGACCAUUUAAUGGGCUGCUGAAUGUCAUGAUCAUACAUUUUGCCACUAAAACCAUGACAAUCUCCUCCAGUCUCCUCAUCGUAGACACUCCUAGGCUAGGCCUUCACUAGAGUGACACAAGUGUAUUUCCCAAAUUAAGAAGACAUCUCUGCUUUCAAUUAGCAUUCCUU
rnacentral:lncRNA from 1 species